rnacentral:rRNA from 1 species
AGAGUUUGAUCCUGGCUCAGGGUUAACGCUGGCGGCGCGCAUAACACAUGCAAGUCGAGCGAGGGCUCAUUUCCCGCAAGGGAGAUGGGUUCCUAGCGGCGAACGGGCGAGUAACACGUGGGCAACCUUUCCUAUCGCGGGGGAUAACAGCGGGAAACCGCUGCUAAUACCGCAUGUCGUCACCGGUCGCAUGGCCGGUGAAGAAAGCAGUAAUGCACGAUGGGGUGGGCCCGCGGCCUAUCAGCUAGUCGGUGGGGUAACGGCCUACCGAGGCGAUGACGGGUAGCUGGUCUGAGAGGACGACCAGCCACACGGGGACUGAGACACGGCCCCGACUCCUACGGGAGGCAGCAGUGAGGAAUCUUCCGCAAUGGGCGAAAGCCUGACGGAGCGACGCCGCGUGUGGGAUGGAGUCCUUCGGGAUGUAAACCACUGUUG